CAACAACAGCAGCAGCAGCAGCAGCAGCAUGUAAUAAGAGGAAAUCAGACACAGCCAACCUGCCUGCCAGUGCAAACCAGCAUUUCCGUGCCCCUCUACAACAACCCCAUGGCGUUCUCUCAGACUCAUCCCAUCACUACUCCCACUCAGAUGCCAGCCGAAAUUAGUGACAGGCAGCCACAGUCUGACUAUGGCCAAGAUAGGAGCCUAAGGAUGUUGUUGGAUCAGCCUAUCCAAGCCAUGAUGCCCAGUGCUAACGGGACUAGUCAGUCAGGACAGAACAAUGCUGGGAGACAACAAGGGAAAUUUGUUCCUGAGCAGCAGAUGCUGCCUCCCCAGUUACAAAUGCCACCGGUUACGUGUAGCACAGUCAGAGCUCCUGGCCCUUCGCCUGCGUUUUCCCCUUCCAUGAUGAUCCCGCACACGAACUUCACCUCCCACCAGACGCAUCCCCCCGUUCACCUCCCCCAGUGGCCACAGCAGCAAGUCCAACAGCAUCAUCUCUACCUGCAGAUGCAGACUCCCGAAUCAGUCCAGGGGAGUCAAGGUCAGCGCAUUUUCCAGUCAUCUCACCUCCCCCAGCAGAACAGCAUGGGCUACUUCCUCCAUCCUCAGCAACAAGCCUGCCACGCAGAGGGUCAGCCCUGCAACCUGCAAGACCUGCCUGAAAUGCAACUGCCGUGACAGCCAAGCGGUGAAGAGGAGAGGAUGAUGUUGGUCGCAGCAGCUGCGCUGGGCACAAGCGAGGGGAAGGACAGCGCUAGCUAAGGAGAGGAGGCCUUCCUCGUUCGCCCGAGGGGUGAGGUUCAGCCCGGAGGGAAGCGUGGCACCCUGGGCCAGGGGCCCGGCAGGUGGGCUGUAAGAGCGUCUUGUUGAUCAGCAUUUUCACGUAGUCAGUUCAGUGCUCGCUGGUGCACAGCAGCACUUCCAGCAGCCACAGAAAAGUGCGGAUCUGUUAAACAGCAGGACAGAAGACUCGAAACUCAUCGAUGCUCCGUUUAAAUAUUGCUGGAAGUCACUGUGAAUUGAAGACCAGCGUUUGGAAAACACAUGCGCGCGCGCGCGCGCACACACUGUAACAACUUGCAGGAUACCACUCACCCACCAUGUAGAUAAUUCGUUUUGCUGUCAUACUUCAACAAUGGAUUUUAUUUCCCUUCUUCCUAUACCUCAGCCCCGGUCCUUGUUUUUUUUUAGAUGAUUGGAUAAUGCUGCUAAUUUAUGUGACACCACUUCUGCCUGAAUUUCUUACUGUUGUUAUACCAGCUCACAUCACACUUAGUAAGAGAAAUGCAUCAGGUUUAAUUCUGGGUGAGACAUGAAAAUAAAUUUCUGUGUUUCUAUUCCCUUUAGCCAAAUAAUUUUCAGGGUAUCAGUGAAGAAACUUUACAGGGGUUUUUUUGUCCCCACCCCCGAUGGAUGUUGCUGUACACAUUUCCUUACACCUGGAAAAAAAAAAACAAUCAAAUGACAGCAAACUUUGUGGUUUUGCUGGUUCAUGUUGCAGUCGGGCAAAGCUGACGUUUAUACUGACAAAGGCACAAAUGCGAGGUCGGGCCCAGAGGGAUAGCAAUAAAUUGUAUUUUUGUAAAUUGUCACUUUAUAACGAUAUGUUUAUAUUUAUGAACGGAAACAGAUGUGUAUUCCUCAGUGAGUAUAUAGCAGUGUCCCUACUGUUUGUGUCUUUCCAAAGGAAAAUGAAUAUUUACGUGGUUGGAGGUUUUGGUUUUUUUUCCUAUAGUAGUUGAAUGCUAGAGCUGAGCGCAGUUAGAUCCCAUCUUCAAAAGAGAGGGAGCGUUUAUGCCCUUAAUGCACCUGUUUUGGGAUAACACGUGGGACCUCCCUUAAAGGAAGGAAACAUGAUGGUAUCUUGUGCCUGAUUUGCACAGUAAUGAUGAAUGUUAUGGCUUGGGGGAUGGAAUAAAGCUGUGGGCAAGGUGAUUUGCUAACCUAUGUCUGCCCUCCCGUCGCUGAGCUGUUCUACUGCGGCUCUUUUGUAGCAAGAGUCUCAGCAUCCAGGCUGGUUGCCAGCCUCUAGGCAUGGAGAUGAUGUGGACUGGAGCGUGGGCUAGGUCUAGAGUCACCCGAGUGUGCCUCAGCACUGGGCUCAACGCUGUUUGCUGUGGGGCAGAUGGGGCUUUGGGGCUUCUCACCUCUCAGUGCUGAAAGAGCAGGGAACAGAUCCACCUGCACAGACCCUGCACGUGUGCUCGUCCCAUUGGCAUUGUCACUGCCCCAGGGCGAGCGGGACAUGCAGGCUUUCACAUUGCCCUUCAUCUGCUGGAUCAGGUCCCAAGGGGAGGGUGGGUCGACACUGAAAGGCUUCGCUUGAAGCCAGAUGCACCCACAAAGGGAGUCCAGCACCAUGGUAGGAGAGUGCUAAGCCAGGGAGCCGUCCCCAGGCCAGCUCUGCAUGAGCGACUGCUGCUCAGCCAUGCGUCCGGGCUGCACCAGUCACAGUGACACUAAAACUGUUCCAGGAGAAGGUCAGAUUGCAUUUUAGUCUUCAAGCCUGCCAGGGUGUUUGCCACCACCUCCUCACCCCUGAAACCCACCCCUACCCUUCAGCUAUGCACACGGGACAGGCCAUGUGUGUGAGAGUCAGGCUGGGCAGCAUGCACACACAGGCACACGCGUGCGCACACACACACACGCAUGCAAAUUGCCCAUUAAGAACGAUGGAGGAAGUGGGGGCGGAAGGAGGCUGGCAGGGGCGGAGCCCCGCACUCUCCCCAAACUUUCAGGUCCAAACCCGCUUCCCCCCCCCCCCCCGGGCUUUGGGUCAGAAACCCCUCUCCCCACACCCAGUUUGGGUCUGACCCCACCCCACCCCACUUCUCCCCAGUUCAAGUCUGACCGUGCUCCCCCCUGCUAAUGUAGUCCUCUAGCCCCCGGCACACCUGCAGGCCAGGCUGGCACUGCGGCGUGAAGCUUGCCUGCUAGCUAGUGUGAGCGUGAGUUACCAGUGCAGGGCUUGUGCCAGGGAUGAGGCUGGCAGCAGGUGGGGUGGAGCGGUGGCCGGGUGUUCAGGUUAGUGCCACUUUGCGCGCUCUUUGGUGCCAGACAGAGACUGUCCAUGGCCACAAGCAUCAAGCUGCUUUUGGCCUUACACCUGAACUAGGGCUAAUCCAAUGUGCAAACUGCCCCCGACUGCUUACCCCUUCAGCUGGUGGUUACAGUGAGGCCAUCAUGUGCCAUACAGGAAAAGCAGCUGACCCGUGCUUAGGCCAUGCUGCCACUGCCUCCUCGUGGUCCUAGCUGCGAUCUGCUGGCUUUGUCUGCACCCCUGUGGAGGCGCUUGCAUGGGGCACUGUUAGCAUUCAGUAAUCACAUAGGGUAGAAAGGGAACGUGCAGAGGGAAAAGAAGAAGUGGUUUGUGUGCGUCACCGCUGUGCUGCUGCUGCUGUCAGUGGCUCAAGGGGUGAAAGUCACCAGCGCAGCCCUUUGCCCCUGUGGCUGGGGUACAGCCCUCGCCUCCUGCUCCUGCUCGGGUCGCUCUGGAGGAUGGCAGCGUGGCGGGGGGUCUUGUCUGGGAACAGCAGCAGCCGGCUGCUGUGGCAGGUUUUCCACCCUGUGCACAUCAGAGCAAACACUAGUCUCCCCGUCCCUGUCCGCCCCUUUUGCCAUUCGCUGGGGUAGGGCCAUGAGGCCUUACGUGCCUGUUCCAGCAGUGGGUUUGCCUUGGCUGUUGGGGCAGCAUGCGCCUGGCCUGCCUGUCAGCUGUGGGGAACCAGAGCACACCUGCCAUAGCACAACCGAUGGGGUCCAGGCCAGCAGGCACCACAGCGAUGCUCCUGGGGCUUUCCUCCUUUUCUCCUCUUGCUGAAAUGAGUGAGUCAUGAACCGGGCACUAGGAGUUCCCCGGUCCCCGCUCCCCAUUUCCACUUGUAACUUCCCCGUCUUCCUCCCGCCAGCACCCUGCCCAAAGCUGGACACCCACGGAGCUGUUUUUCAGUCAUGUCUAGGCUUGAACCAAGUAGCAGGCUGCUGCAACAGGCUUGUACCAAGAUGAGCUCCCACGUCCUGCAGUGCUCAGGUGGAGGGAGGGGGUGCCUGGAGGAUCGGGAUCAUCUACCACAGCCAAAUCCCCUUCCUCCACUUUCUUCUACAUCUGCUUUGUCUCUUUGCUUUGCAUUCUCCCCCCCCACAAACGCAGCCUUGUUUUAGCAGAAUAAGAAGGUGGCAAAGGCAUUGUGCAGACUCUUCUCUUAGGAAGAGGCUCCUGCCUUCUAACUUUACACGCUGGUGGCUGCGGGGAAGGUCUCGUCUCUGGCCUGGCUCAAGCCUCACUUCUAGCUUUACAGUGAGUAGAAAAGGAGCACAAAGAGGGCUCUGGCUGUCUUCAGUAAGGCAUUUGCAGAAUAGCUGGGCAAAGUAAAGACAGCUGCCUGUUUUUAGAGCACUGCUUGGGAGAAUUGUGCACCCAAGGCUGGCAUCACGGCCGUGUGCUGUGUCCCCUGCCCCUGGGUGCAGCUGCAGUGGAUGGGGCUGUUGAUGGAGCUACCUGUGUCAUCAGGCAGCGUAAGGGUGCAGGGAAAGCAGAGGGGAAUGGCGGUCCUAGAAUGAGGGUUGCUGGAGAAGGGAAACCACAGCCCCUUUUUUGGAUUGGCCUCGCUGAAGACAUGCACUUUAUUACGGAAGAACAAUGACCCUUCAGCUUCAUGCCAUUGCAUGGUCGUGCCCUCAGUCAAACACCCAGCAACCGGGCACAGCCCUGGCUUGUCACCCCACUGGAGAGAGGCACAGGCAGCAAGUGCCUCGGCCGUGGGAGCCAGCGCUUUCAGACAAUCACCGGAGGGCCGGCCCUUGCGGUCCCUUCUCAGGGUUUACUCCGUUACUGCAUGGUUCCUUACUCAGGCAGCCUCCCGCUGACUCCCAGGGUGCUGGGUCUGGGCAUGUGAUAAAUCGGGACCUUGGGAUGUGGCCUAAGGUCCUGUCGCCCGCCCUUCUCUCUCAAAAAAAAAAAUUAUAUGAAUAAAGAGCCACUCUCUUCAGGGUCAUUUGGAUUCAUUACCUCUGUUAGCUACGCCCGGUAUUUCUGUGGAGUGUUAGGAAGUGAGUGUAGCUGGGGUUGGACACGCAGAGGAUGCUUGUAGUGGCAAACACGUUCUCCCCGCCGGCUGGGGACUCAGCCUGUGGGAUCGCUACUGACUACGCCCAACCGAGGGAGCUGGCUCCAGGUGAGCUGAGACGCGUACAGCAGAAGGGGUGCAGUGCGAGGCUUUCCAAGGCACGUGUCCGACAGGCCAAGCAAUCCCCAACCUUGGCAAACACAGGCAGCUUUAAUCUAAGUCUUGCACUUUUAGCGUAUUUGUACAUAUAAGCUAUAGCCUGAAAGGUAAAAAAAUUAAAAAAAUUUAAAAAGUUUAAAAAACAUAGUGAAAUGUCACUGUACAUAUUGUAACAUAUUCCAUGUAAAAAAGGCUAGAAUUGAAUAUGAAUAUUAGUUCUAUUUUAUAUGAUGUCAAAUAGAGAUGAAUUUAUAAAUGUUCCUAUUCUUAAAAGUAUUUUGUAAUGGAAAAAAGGAAAUGUCUUAUGAAGACGAACCCAGGACAGAUUUUAUUCUUGUCUCGAAUAUGCGUCCCUGGGCAGCUCCAUUGGAUGGCAGCUGUUGCAUCUUGACAAGCUUUAAACAGAUUGUACAUAGUAUUUUGGAAGAAAAAUAAAAGUAUACUUUUAAG